GAUGAACGCUGGCGGCGUGCCUAAUACAUGCAAGUCGAGCGAACAGACGAGGAGCUUGCUCCUCUGACGUUAGCGGCGGACGGGUGAGUAACACGUGGAUAACCUACCUAUAAGACUGGGAUAACUUCGGGAAACCGGAGCUAAUACCGGAUAAUAUAUUGAACCGCAUGGUUCAAUAGUGAAAGACGGUUUUGCUUUCACUUAUAGAUGGAUCCGCCCCGCAUUAGCUAGUUGGUAAGGUAACGGCUUACCAAGGCAACGAUGCGUAGCCGACCUGAGAGGGUGAUCGGCCACACUGGAACUGAGACACGGUCCAGACUCCUACGGGAGGCAGCAGUAGGGAAUCUUCCGCAAUGGGCGAAAGCCUGACGGAGCAACGCCGCGUGAGUGAUGAAGGUCUUCGGAUCGUAAAACUCUGUUAUUAGGGAAGAACAAAUGUGUAAGUAACUAUGCACGUCUUGACGGUACCUAAUCAGAAAGCCACGGCUAACUACGUG
rnacentral:rRNA from 1 species